rnacentral:snRNA from 1 species
CUGUAGCGCAUCAACCCCAACCU